AUUGAACGCUGGCGGCGUGCCUAACACAUGCAAGUCGAGCGGUAACAGGUGUAGCAAUACAUGCUGACGAGCGGCGGACGGGUGAGUAACGCUUGGGAAUCUGCCUGUUAGUGGGGGACAACCCGGGGAAACUCGGGCUAAUACCGCAUACGCACUACGGUGGAAAGCCGGGGACCGCAAGGCCUGGCGCUAACAGAUGAGCCCAAGUCGGAUUAGCUAGUUGGUAGGGUAACGGCCUACCAAGGCGACGAUCCGUAACUGGUCUGAGAGGACGACCAGUCACACCGGAACUGAGACACGGUCCGGACUCCUACGGGAGGCAGCAGUGGGGAAUAUUGGACAAUGGGGGAAACCCUGAUCCAGCGACGCCGCGUGGGUGAAGAAGGCCUGCGGG
rnacentral:rRNA from 1 species